AACGAACGCUGGCGGCGUGGAUUAGGCAUGCAAGUCGAACGAUCCGCUGUAAUGCGGAUAGUGGCAAAAGGGUGAGUAACACAUGGGUAAUUUACCUUUAGGUUCGGAAUAACUUGCCGAAAGGCGAGCUAAUACUGGAUAAGACCACACUCUGUUCGCAGAGAGGGGUUAAAGCAGGGGACCCUAACAGGGCCUUGCGCCUUUAGAUGAGCCUGUGUCCUAUCAGCUUGUUGGUAGGGUAACGGCCUACCAAGGCAUUUGACGGGUAGCUGGUCUGAGAGGAUGGUCAGCCACACUGGGACUGAGACACUGCCCAGACACCUACGGGUGGCAG
rnacentral:rRNA from 1 species